rnacentral:lncRNA from 1 species
GGUCCACCUGACAAGGAAUUAAGGGCAACCCCUAGACAACAGCCAGCAAAAAACCAAGGCCCUCAGUCCAACAACUCUCAAGGGUUCUCCUUCCUCCAGCGCUUGAACUUUGACCCACCCUGGAGGACUGGAAGGUGGAACAAGUGGAACACCUCCUUGAUGGUGCCUGCUGAGAAUGAGCUGACCUCAGAGAGAAACAUUCCCUGGUCACCUGUCUGUCACGCCACUUGCUCAUCCCACACCCCACAUUCUGUUCUUUUCUAGCCUUAUUUACCUUUUUCUGCCUAUUAAAAAAAAGCCCGUUUCUGGCUGACCUUUGAGAUGCUUGCAGAUCUCAAGGUCAGAACAUUCUCCCUAUUGUAAUA